rnacentral:rRNA from 1 species
AGAGUUUGAUCAUGGCUCAGAAUCAACGCUGGCGGCGUGCCUAACACAUGCAAGUCGCACGAGAAAGGGUAGCAAUACCUGAGUACAGUGGCGCACGGGUGAGUAACACGUGAAUAAUCUACCUCCGAGUGGGGAAUAACUUAGGGAAACCUGAGCUAAUACCGCAUAACACUUACGAGUCAAAGCAGCAAUGCGCUUGGAGAGGAGUUCGCGGCAGAUUAGUUAGUUGGCGGGGUAAUGGCCCACCAAGACGAUGAUCUGUAUCCGGCCUGAGAGGGCGCACGGACACACUGGAACUGAAACACGGUCCAGACUCCUACGGGAGGCAGCAGUGGGGAAUUUUGCGCAAUGGGGGAAACCCUGACGCAGCAACGCCGCGUGGAGGAUGAAAUCCCUUGGGAUGUAAACUCCUUUCGAUCGGGACGAUUAUGACGGUACCGGAAGAAGAAGCCCCGGCUAACUUCGUGCCAGCAGCCGCGGUAAUACGAGGGGGGCGAGCGUUGUUCGGAAUUAUUGGGCGUAAAGGGUGCGUAGGCGGUUUGAUAAGUCUGAUGUGAAAUCUCUGGGCUCAACCCAGAGUCUGCAUUAGAAACUGUCGGGCUUGAGUAUGGGAGAGGUGAGUGGAAUUUCCGGUGUAGCGGUGAAAUGCGUAGAUAUCGGAAGGAACACCUGUGGCGAAAGCGGCUCACUGGACCAUUACUGACGCUGAUGCACGAAAGCUAGGGGAGCAAACAGGAUUAGAUACCCCCGUAGUCC